rnacentral:lncRNA from 1 species
GUUCAUCUAGUUUACUAGAUUGUUGCAUGCUAGUUUUGGUUCUAGUCAUGAGUUGUUUACUAAAAUUAAUUAUGAUCUUGCCUAAUUUUCCAAAAGUUUCCCCUCAGGGUCUGACCUAGCGCCAAGCACCUCCGCCGUAGCUCAAGCCAUGUUGUCGGUACCAAUCCUGCCAUCUCUCACCGGCUCACAUCCUUGAUGUUCUUGACAAGGUGGAACUG